GCCAUCGCUCACAGGAUAAAAGGUACUCCGGGGAUAACAGGCUGAUACCGCCCAAGAGUUCAUAUCGACGGCGGUGUUUGGCACCUCGAUGUCGGCUCAUCACAUCCUGGGGCUGAAGUAGGUCCCAAGGGUAUGGCUGUUCGCCAUUUAAAGUGGUACGCGAGCUGGGUUUAGAACGUCGUGAGACAGUUCGGUCCCUAUCUGCCGUGGGCGCUGGAGAACUGAGGGGGGCUGCUCCUAGUACGAGAGGACCGGAGUGGACGCAUCACUGGUGUUCGGGUUGUCAUGCCAAUGGCACUGCCCGGUAGCUAAAUGCGGAAGAGAUAAGUGCUGAAAGCAUCUAAGCACGAAACUUGCCCCGAGAUGAGUUCUCCCUGACUCCUUGAGAGUCCUGAAGGAACGUUGAAGACGACGACGUUGAUAGGCCGGGUGUGUAAGCGCAGCGAUGCGUUGAGCUAACCGGUACUAAUGAACCGUGAGGCUUAACCUUACAACGCCGAAG
rnacentral:rRNA from 1 species